CAAGCUACUAAGGGCGCACGGUGGAUGCCUAGGAGCAAGGAGCCGAUGAAGGGCGUGGCAAGCUGCGAUAAGCCACGGGGAGCCGCAAGCAGGCGUUGAUCCGUGGAUUCCCGAAUGGGGAAACCCGGCCACCGCAAGGGUGGUCACCCACCGCUGAACCCAUAGGCGGUGUGGAGGGAACCUGGGGAACUGAAACAUCUCAGUACCCAGAGGAAAAGAAACCGAAUGGGAUUCCCUCAGUAGUGGCGAGCGAACGGGGAACAGCCUAAACCAAUCGGGCGUGCCCGAUUGGGGUCGUGGGACCGACACAAGGGAGCGUCUUCCGCUUAGCAGAAGCUGCCUGGAACGGCACGCCAUAGAGGGUGAGAGCCCCGUAUGCGAAAAGUGGAGCGCCCCGUCGGGAUCCCGAGUAGCACGGGAUAAGUGGAACCCUGUGCGAAUCUGCCCGGACCACCGGGUAAGGCUAAAUACUCCUUGCUACCGAUAGCGCAACCAGUACCGUGAGGGAAAGGUGAAAAGCACCCCGGCGAGGGGAGUGAAAGAGAACCUGAAACCGUGCGCUUACAAGCAGUCGGAGGGCUAUGCCCCGCAAGGGGAACAGCCUGACGGCGUGCCUUUUGCAGAAUGAGCCGGCGAGUUACGCUUUGUGGCAAGGUUAAGCGCCUCAGGCGCGGAGCCGCAGCGAAAGCGAGUCCUCACAGGGCGACUCAGUCACAAGGCGUAGACCCGAAACCGCGCGAUCUACCCCUGGUCAGGCUGAAGCCGUGGUAACACACGGUGGAGGGCCGAACCGGUGUCCGUUGAAAAGGGCUCGGAGGAACUGGGGGUAGUGUGGUGAAAUGCCAAUCGAGCGCGGAGAUAGCUGGUUCUCCCCGAAAUGCAUUGAGGUGCAGCGUCACGGGCUAUGCUAUGCAGGUAGAGCCACUGGAUGGGCUAGGGGCCCCACCAGGUUACCGAACCCAACCAAACUCCGAAUGGCAUAGCAGGAACCGUGGCAGUGAGACAGCGACGGAUGAGCGCCGUUGUCAAAAGGGAAACAGCCCAGACCGCCCGCUAAGGUCCCUAAGCACAGGCUAAGUGUGAAAGGAUGUAGGCUCGCGUAGACAACCAGGAGGUUGGCUUAGAAGCAGCCAUCCUUUAAACAGUGCGUAACAGCUGACUGGUCGAAUGUGAGCCUGCGCCGACAAUGUAAGGGGGCUUAAGCCUGUCACCGAAGCGGCGGGUUCCCAGCAAUGGGAGCGGUAGGGGAGCGUUCUGCACGCCGUGAAGGUGGAGCGUGAGCACCGCUGGAGCGUGCAGAAGUGAGAAUGCCGGCACGAGUAGCGAGAAGACGGGUGAGAAUCCCGUCCGCCGAAAGCCUAAGGGUUCUUCAGGCAGGUUCGUCCGCUGAAGGUUAGGCGGUCCUAAGCCGAGGGCGAAACGCCGUAGGCGAAGGGCAGUGGGUCAACAUUCCCACCCCAGGGCGUGGAGCGAGAACGGGGACGCUUGAGAAUCGGUCGGGCGCAGGGUUGUAAGGCUGCGCGCGCCCCAGCGGCAACUCUGGGGCGCCGAAGGGAUCCCUCGUGGUGAACGAAGCGACCGUGACUCAAGCCGAGAAAAGCCGUUCCGCGUUGAAACGUCCUGACCGUACCGCAAACCGACACAGGUAGGCGAGGCGAGGAGCCUCAGGCGCGCGAGAGAAGUCCCGCUAAGGAACUCGGCAAAUUGACCCCGUAACUUCGGGAGAAGGGGUGCCUCCGCAAGGAGGUCGCAGCAAAGAGGGCCCGGCGACUGUUUACCAAAAACACAGCUCUCUGCGAAGGGGUAACCCGACGUAUAGGGGGCGACGCUUGGCCAAUGCCCGUAGGUUAAGGGGAGGGGUCAGCCGCAAGGUGCAGCCCCAAACUGAAGCCCGGGUGAAUGCCGGCCGUAACUCUAACGGUUCGUCACAGGGCCGUUGUAAAAUCUGGCUAUAUGCUGGAACAGCUCGUGUAUCCCACGCUACCGAGGAGGUGAAAACGCGAUGGGUGGAGCCAAUCAGCAGGAAAGACUCGCCCACACCGAAGCCGCCAAAUGGUUCCUCGCGGGGUUCAUCGAAGGUGAAGGCUCCCUGCUUGUCAGCAUCAAACACCACGAAACCAGCCGAUACGGCUACUAUGUGGACCCAGAGUUCCACCUUGUCCAACACAAGAGUGGACGCAAUAUCCUGGAGCUGGCAAAGCAGGUCUUCCAAACAGGGCGCAUCUACCCCAAACCCGGCAGCCCAAACUGCCUCGUCUACGCCAUUCACUGCCGGCGUAGCCUCUGGGAAAAACUGGUGCCCUUCUACGAAAAGUAUGUCCUUCCCUUCGCCUCCCCGGACAAACGCGAAACCUUUCUGCGGUUUCGCGAAAUCCUGGAGAUGAUGAACCGUGGGGAACAUCGGACCCCUGACGGACUGGCACGCAUCGUCGAGAAGGCGUAUGCGAUGAACCCAGCCGCGAAGGGGAAGCAGCGCCUCAGACCGCUGCACGAGGUGUUGGCGAGAAUCCUCAGAGACCAUACGCCAGACACUCCGCCAAACGCGGAGUGAAGAUAUGGUCCAGUCCCUAUGGCGACAUAGGGGGCAACUGCCUAUGGUAGCGAAAUUCCUUGUCGCGUAAAUUGCGACCCGCACGAAAAGCGUAACGACUGGGCCACUGUCUCAGCGGGACACUCGGUGAAACUGUAGUACCCGUGAAGAUGCGGGUUACCUGCGGUAGGACGGAAAGACCCUAUGGAGCUUUACUACAGCCUGGGAUUGCAUUUCGGUGUGUCAUGUAGAGCGUAGGUGGGAGCUUCGGCGCCAAUGGAACACCACCCUUGACCCACUGAAGUGCUAACCCGGACCGUAAGCCGGUUCGGAGACAGUCUUAGGUGGGUAGUUUGACUGGGGCGGUCGCCUCAAUAGUGGGGCGCUCCGAUGGUAA
rnacentral:rRNA from 1 species